rnacentral:lncRNA from 1 species
AGUUGGAAACAAAUGAGCUCCAUGCUAGCCUUACUGUGUGCAAUGGAAAACACUUGCAAACAAAGAAUAAAUAACUCAUUAAGUGGUGAACCUCUGAUCCUGGAUCAAAGUCACUGACCUGAUGCUACAGUAGCCUUUGCCUUUACUGUGGAGGCUGUGAGCCGAGUGAGAACUGGCCCACAGCUGCCUCCACAGCUCCUGUCACUGAGGCUUUAUAUGGCUGCCUGCAGCUGUGGAGAGCUUGAUGCCCCUGUGAGAUCAUGAGAUGCUUGAAUUAAAAAUUUCCAGGUACUGUACAAACAAAAGAGAAAAGGACUGCCCAAAUCUGCUGCUGUUGGCUGCCGGUGAGAUCCCAACCCUGCAAGGUGCCAGCCAUGCUGGUAGGGGAUUGAUAAGAAGACUGGGGCGUCCUGGGAACUGAGGAUUUCAAAGUCAAUUGGUCAUGUCUGCUGUCUGGAACAGCCCCAGCAUUGCCAUUAUCUGUCCCCUGAUGAACCUGUUGGUGGCUGCAGCUACUGGAGGUUGGGAGCUGGGGCAUCCAAGCGGGAUCAAGGGGAGCCAACAGAGACAAAGACCCUCAUUGUUCACAUCUCAGCCUUGGAUUCAUCUUACGCAUCUUAUUGGUUAUGUUGUUAACAUAUGUAACUAGAGAUAUGGUGUUACUUGAGUCACUAGUGUGUGUUAGCAGGAAACCAGGGGCAUGCUGAAACUUGAAGUUCUUGUAGUUGACCCCUGACUCUGGGGUAAGAGUAAAACAUUCCUCAAAAACUCUCAUAUAAGUUAGAACGACCAAGUGUAGACUGGAUGGCAUAGCUCUGUGUGGUAGAAGACUUAGUUCUCUUUUGGUUUUACCAGAAGAUGUUGCAAGAUGGAUAGUAUUAUCUCUGGUAAAUAAAAGCGUAUUUUUUCAUAAGACUCCCA